GACGAACGCUGGCGGCGUGCCUAAUACAUGCAGGUUGAGCGCUGAAGGUUGGUACUUGUACCAACUGGAUGAGCAGCGAACGGGUGAGUAACGCGUGGGGAAUCUGCCUUUGAGCGGGGGACAACAUUUGGAAACGAAUGCUAAUACCGCAUAAAAACUUUAAACACAAGUUUUAAGUUUGAAAGAUGCAAUUGCAUCACUCAAAGAUGAUCCCGCGUUGUAUUAGCUAGUUGGUGAGGUAAAGGCUCACCAAGGCGAUGAUACAUAGCCGACCUGAGAGGGUGAUCGGCCACAUUGGGACUGAGACACGGCCCAAACUCCUACGGGAGGCAGCAGUAGGGAAUCUUCGGCAAUGGACGAAAGUCUGACCGAGCAACGCCGCGUGAGUGAAGAAGGUUGUCGGAUCGUAAAACUCUGUCGGUAGAGAAGAACGUUGGUGAGAGUGGAAAGCUCAUCAAGUGACGGUAACUACCCAGAAAGGGACGGCUAACUACGUG
rnacentral:rRNA from 1 species